rnacentral:lncRNA from 1 species
GUUUCACUGUGUUAGCCAGGAUGGUCUUGAUCUCCUGACCUCGUGAUCCACCUGCCUCGGCCUCCCAAAGUGCUGGGAUUACAGGCGUGAGCCACUGCGCCUGGCCUCUACUUCUCAGACGAGGGCCUCACUCUGUCACUCAGGCUGGAGUGAAGUGGUGCAAUCACAGUUCACUGAAACCUUGAACUCCUGGGUACAAGGAAUCCUCCUGUCUGGAACUACAGGCACAAGAUGAUUUUUCACCUAGUGGAGUCAUUGAACAGUGGUCUUCAAAUUGGGAUUAUUUCCAAGAAUAGAUUAAAAUGCCAUGAAAAAGAAAAAAUUAUAGAAAAGCAAAAAGAGCUGAAUGCAGUGAAUGAACAUCUGUGAAUGAAGUUGAGAAGGUAUAUGUGGGGCAGACUAGAAUUGCAGUGCACAGAUACAAGAAUGUUGCCUGCUUUGGAGCCAAGACUGCCUUCCGGAUAAAGGGCCCACAGAGAGCUGAGAGCUGUGUAAUACCUCAAAGACUGAAGAAAAGAGUUAGACAGCCAUCUUUCCUUAGAGGAUUUUGCUGCAGACAGCUUGAACUACCAGAAGGUUAUAUACUGACCAUGGGUAGAGUAAGGAAGAAAUACAUCCUUCGGAAAGGACAAUGAAGAUCUUUACAGCAGGAGAUGGAGUCUCAGUCUUUUGCCCUGGCUGGGGUACAAUGCCAUGAUCACAGCUCACUGCAGUCUGGAG